CUAUCUUGAGUAAGGGCAGAUGAUUCAUGUAGCAUUUGCCUCCUGGAAUCUGCCUUUAGCUCAGGCAUGCAGGCUCCUAGGAGGGUGUGCUUGGCUGAUAAAAUCCCCUCCUGAAGACUCCUGGGGAUGUAUGGACAUAAUUUGCCUAGGUAAUAAACCAGGAUUCAGAAACUCAGGUUUUGUCCCGUUUUUUAAAGUUCAAACCAUCCAGUACAAAAAAAACUGUAAAGGCAAACUGCCAAACAUAGGCUGUUACCCCCAAACAGAUAAUCUGCCCCUUUUGGUAAUGCUUAUACCCCAACCAAUCUGCAUUGUGUGCUAUUGCACUGAGCCUUGGGACAUGUAGUCCAUAAAAAGAGAGCGAUGUAGAGCCGAGUGCAAUGCUUCAACUCCUUUCCCUUUUGGGUGGAGCUCUGCUUUAAAAAUUUAAAUUUGGGCCAGGGCGGAAUCUGGAGGCUUAUAACAUUUUCAAACUGGAGUUCAGCUUUGAUUUCUAAAGUCGAUGAUCAUGAGUGUAUGAAUAACUGAUAAUGACAUUGUCCAUUCAGUCAAUCUUGCAGUUCUGAAAAUCGUUUUUCGAAUCUGGAAAUCACGUGGAAAGUCAUUUUGUUGUGAAGGAAUUUAGGAGGCGAGAGAAGACCACUUGGUGUCGUGUGCUAUAGGGCCCUCUAAAAUCCCCCCUCUCUGUGCUACCUACACCUCUGUCACUGCAGGAGAUCGGAACUGUGAGCGGGGACAGCUAGGGGAAUGCUCUUCAUGUUUCCUUGCAAUAAAGGAGCAUGCUAUAAUACAAAUGAGGGGUCCCAAGGUGGAGUUGGCCUUUACACUUCUUGAUAGUGAUGGAAUAAAAUGACCACAUACCAGUUCUGGUCCCA